AAAGAUUUCUGGUAGCCGCCAGAAGCUAAGAACAGAUUCUCCCUCUGAGCCUCCAGAACCCAGAUGACACCUUGAUUUCAGACUUCUGGCCUCCAAAACUGUGAGAGAAUAAAUGUGUUGUUUUAAGGCACCCAGUUGGUGACAGUUCGUCACAGUAGCCACAGGAAACUAAUACCCAGCCCCACGGCAGGCGUAGGUCAGGCCUGGCACAGUCUGGAUCUCAGUCCCUGACUCAGACCAUGGAUGCUCGCUGCCUUGUACAGAAACAAGCUGCUCAACCAAACAGGGUGACCCUGCUGAAGCCGCAAAUGCCCAACAGUCCUGCCAACCCUGGAUGCUUCUGUAGCUUCCCUUUAACUCUCCCUCCGGGCAUGAAACCAGACACAGACUACCCAGAAGAUGAACUGAGCACUCUGCAAUGGGCCCAGCACACUGCUGCAUCUGAGACCAUCUUCUCGGCCCUAACAGCCCUGGGGGGCUCUUCUCUCUGGUGGGGAAAUUGGGCUUAGGGAAAGGACAUCCUUAGGACAGUCAUCCCACCAAGUAGAAUGACUCUAUGCAGCCCGAAUACUGUUUCCCUGGGAGGAAAAAAAUCCAAAACAUAAACUUUUAUAAGCUGUUUUAAUUAAAACACUCUUUGUAAAGUGAUGGAUUUGAAGCAAGGGAGGAGAAAGGUUUUCUGGCAAAAGUGUCUUUUGUGGUGUUUCUUUGGUGAGCAAAAGGAACUCAACUGAUGAAAACACCAAAGCACAAACAUUCUGUGGCCAGUAAAGUGGGUGGAGGGGGCAAUGGAGACAACCUCAGGUGGGGCCCAGCUUGUAACGCUGGCAGGGCUCUGUUAAUGUGCUCCAUAAAGGGCUUUGGAGGGCAGGAGGAGCACCACCAACAUUUUAAAUGUGAGGCCAACCAUAAAACGAUUCAUGAUUAGUCCACUAAAAUGUGUUUAUUGGCAAAUAGGAAAGAGAUCCCUGAAAAUAAGCAGGAACAGGUGAUUUUCAAGGCUGACUUAGGUCUCCUAUUCAGCUACUCAACAAUUAUAUCCGAGCUACGUGCAGUGGCUCACCCUGUAAUCCCAGCACUUUGGAGGCUGAGGCAAGAGGCGAAAAGUUCGAGACCAGCCUGGGCAACCUAGCGAGACACCAUCUCUAUGAAAAAUUUAAAAAUUAGCCUAGCAUGUGUCUUGUGCCUGUGGUCCCAGCUACUCAGGAGGCUGAGGUGAGAGGAUCACUUGAGCCCCAGAGGUUGAGGUUACAGUAAGCUGUGAUCGCACCACUGCACUCCAGUCUGGGUGACAGAGUGAGACACUGUCUGAAGAAAAAACAAAA
rnacentral:lncRNA from 1 species